UACAGAGGGUGCGAGCGUUGUCCGGAAUCACUGGGCGUAAAGGGCGCGUAGGCGGCCCGAUAAGUAGGGUGUGAAAUCUUGCGGCUCAACCGCAAGGCUGCCUUCUAAACUGUCGGGCUGGAGCACGGUAGAGGCAGAUGGAAUUACCGGUGUAGCGGUGGAAUGCGUAGAGAUCGGGAAGAACACCAGUGGCGAAGGCGGUCUGCUGGGCCGUUGCUGACGCUGAGGCGCGACAGCGUGGGGAGCAAACAGG
rnacentral:rRNA from 1 species